rnacentral:tRNA from 1 species
GAAUUCAUAGCUCAGUUGGUUAGAGCACCGCACCGGCAUCGCAGAGAUCAUGGGUUCGAAUCCCGUUGAAUCACCU